GCCUUGGGGUCCACUGCAGGAGGUGGGGGCGGGUCAGAGCAGAGCCAGCAGCCGCGCAUCCAGGCAGGCCUGGCCCAGGGCCCCGCCAACGCCCCUUCUGAUGUUGAACACGGGUUCUCUGGCAGGUGGAACAGGAACCGGGGCCCAGGACGCUCAGUGCUGUGAUGUGCCCCUGCCCUGCUUUCAGCUUCUCUCUCCCGGGAUUCUGGCAGAAUUGGAGAGUACCCCAGGACUCCUCCAGCUCUACAGUCUGUGGCACUGUGGAUCCUGCAGAUCCGGUACUCAGGGGAACCAAGUCAGCCCUGUCCUCCUGAUACAUUUGGAUAAUCCCCCACAACUCAACUCUGCCCAUGGAGGUGGGGAUGGUAAUUAUUCCCUCCAUUCUAUGGAUGCAAAAACUGAGUUUUGGAGAGUAACUUGCCCAUGGUCACACAGCUAAGGGAGUGAGCAGCUGGGAUUAGAAUCACAUGGCUGAGACUGUGGACCAAAGGACAGACAUGCUCAUGAGAGGAGCUUUACUCCUGCAAUAGGCUGUCUAUAAAGAUGUCUGGAGGCCGGGCGCAGUGGUUUACGCCUGUAAUCCCAGCACUUUGGGAGGUCAAGGCAGGCGGAUCACCUGAGGUCAGGAGUUCGAGACCAGCCUGGCCAACAUGGCAAAACCCCAUUUCUACUAAAACGUACAAAAAUUAGCCGGGCGUGGUGGUGGGCACCUGUAAUCACAGCUACUUGGGAGACUGAGGGAGAAUUGCUUGAACCUGGGAGGCAGAGGUUGUGGUGAGCCAAGAUCGCACCAUUGCACUCCAGCCGGGGCGACAGAACAAGACUCUGUCUCAAAAAUAAAUAAAAUAAAAUAAUUAAAGAUGUCUGGAAGACUCUUGUUCCAAAGGUGUAUGUACUGCCUGAUUGACACAGUGCCCAAGAGCC
rnacentral:lncRNA from 1 species